CUUGUUGGAGUGCCCAAAACCUUGAUAAUCUCAACAAGCUGGUCAACUCCACUUUCACCAGGAAAUAGAGGCUGUCCAAGAAGUAGUUCAGCAAGAACACAGCCAGCAGACCAGAUGUCAAUAGCUGUUGUGUACUCUGUUGCCCCGAAUAUUAGCUCUGGUGCUCUAUAAUAUCUAGAACAUAUAUAAGAUAUAUUUGGCUCCCCUUUUACCAAGACUUUUGCACUUCCAAAAUCACACAAUUUAACCUGGUGUGUAUGAGGAUUAACCAAAAGGUUUUGAGGUUUGAUGUCCCGAUGACACACUCCAAUUGCACGAUGGAUGUAUGACAAUGCCCUGAAGAUCUGGUAUGCAUAAAGUU
rnacentral:misc_RNA from 1 species